rnacentral:rRNA from 1 species
UACGAAGGGGGCUAGCGUUGCUCGGAAUCACUGGGCGUAAAGGGUGCGUAGGCGGGUCUUUAAGUCAGGGGUGAAAUCCUGGAGCUCAACUCCAGAACUGCCUUUGAUACUGGGAAUCUAGAGUCCGGAAGAGGUGAGUGGAACUCCGAGUGUAGAGGUGAAAUUCGUAGAUAUUCGGAAGAACACCAGUGGCGAAGGCGGCUCACUGGUCCGGUACUGACGCUGAGGUGCGAAAGCGUGGGGAGCAAACAGGG